rnacentral:rRNA from 1 species
UACGUAGGGGGCGAGCGUUGUCCGGAAUUAUUGGGCGUAAAGAGCUCGUAGGCGGCUUAGUAAGUCGGCGGUGAAAUACCGAGGCUCAACCUCGGCACUGCCGUCGAUACUGCUAUGGCUAGAGUUUGGUAGAGGAGAACGGAAUUCCCGGUGUAGCGGUGGAAUGCGCAGAUAUCGGGAGGAACACCCGUAGCGAAGGCGGUUCUCUGGGCCGAUACUGACGCUGAGGAGCGAAAGCGUGGGGAGCGAACAGG